GUGGCCGUAGCUCAAUGGUAGAGCACCGGUUUGUGGUACCGGCGGUUGUGGGUUCGAGCCCCAUCGGCCACCCCA
rnacentral:tRNA from 1 species